rnacentral:rRNA from 1 species
UGGGGAAUAUUGGACAAUGGGCGCAAGCCUGAUCCAGCCAUGCCGCGUGAGUGACGAAGGCCUUAGGGUUGUAAAGCUCUUUCGGCGGGGAAGAUAAUGACGGUACCCGCAGAAGAAGCCCCGGCUAACUUCGUGCCAGCAGCCGCGGUAAUACGAAGGGUGCUAGCGUUGUUCGGAAUCACUGGGCGUAAAGCGCGCGUAGGCGGCGAUAUAAGUCAGAGGUGAAAGCCUGGAGCUCAACUCCAGAACUGCCUUUGAAACUAUAUUGCUAGAGUGUCGGAGGGGAUAGCGGAAUUGCUAAUGUAGAGGUGAAAUUCGUAGAUAUUAGCAGGAACACCGGUGGCGAAGGCGGCUAUCUGGACGACAACUGACGCUGAGGCGCGAAAGCGUGGGGAGCAAACAGGAUUAGAUACCCAGGUAGUCCCUGAGCGGGCUGGCAAGGCGCAU